rnacentral:rRNA from 1 species
GACGUAGGGCGCGAGCGUUGUCCGGAUUUAUUGGGUUUAAAGGGUGCGUAGGCGGCCUUAUAAGUCAGUGCUGAAAUAUCCCGGCUUAACCGGGAGGGUGGCAUUGAUACUGUAGGGCUUGAGUAAAGUUGAGGUUGGCGGAAUUGACGGUGUAGCGGUGAAAUGCUUAGAUAUCGUCAAGAACACCGAUAGUGAAGACAGCUAACUAAGCUUUAACUGACGCUGAGGCACGAAAGUGUGGGGAUCAAACAGG